rnacentral:RNase_P_RNA from 1 species
GGGCAGGUAGAAGGUGGUCGCCCCUGCACCAUAUGGCGCAGGGGAGGAAAGUCCGGGCUCCAGAGGAUAGCGUAAUGGGUAAUGCCCAUCCUUCGGAUGUAAAUCCGGGGCGGAUUAGAGCCACAGAGACGAGUAGAGGCCAAAGGCCAUAACACGAAGAUUCUGAGUCCGCCUAUGGCGGACUCAGAAUCACUUCUCGGCCUGCGGCCUCGAAGUGAAACGAGGCAAUCUCUACGCGGAGCAAGGUGCAAUAGGAGACGAUGCGCUGAUCCGGCGCGCUUCCCGCAUUUUGCGGGAUCCCGCUUCGGCGGGAAAAAGUCUCGGGUAAGCCCCCGCACCAAUUACGUAUUUAGCCUAGGCUAUAUUGCAAUUGGUGCGGGGGUAAACUGCUUGAGCCUUGACGGUAACGUCGAGGUCGAGAGAAAUGAUCACUAUAGAUGCGGAUAUUCGUAUCAAGACAGAACUCGGCUUAUUCUACCUGUCCUAUU